rnacentral:rRNA from 1 species
AUUGAACGCUGGCGGCAGGCCUAACACAUGCAAGUCGAACGAGUGGCGGACGGGUGAGUAAUGUCUGGGAAACUGCCUGAUGGAGGGGGAUAACUACUUGGAACGGUAGCUAAUACCGCAUACCAUCAGAUGUGCCCAGAUGGGAUUGGCUUGUUGGUGGGUUAACGGCUCACCAAGGCGACGAUCCCUAGCUGGUCUGAGAGGAUGAACGGCCACACUGGAACUGAGACACGGUCCAGACUCCUACGGGAGGCAGCAGUGGGGAAUAUUGCAAAAGGGGCGCAAGCCUGAUGCAGCCAUGCCGCGGGUAUGAAGAAGGCUUUCGGGUUGUAAAGUACUUUCAGCGGGGAGGCGUUACCCGCAGAAGAAGCACCGGCUAACUCCGUGCCAGCAGCCGCGGUAAUUC